UAUAACUCAGAUUUGCAAUCUGGCCCCUUCGGUGUCCGAGUUGUAAUUUGAAGAAGGUAUCUUUGGUUUUGGCUCUUGUCUAUGUUCCUUGGAACAGGACGACACAGAGGGUGAGAAUCCCGUGCGAUGAGAUGCCCAAUUCCAUGUAAAGUUCCUUCGACGAGUCGAGUUGUUUGGGAAUGCAGCUCUAAGUGGGUGGUAAAUUCCAUCUAAAGCUAAAUAUUGGCGAGAGACCGAUAGCGAACAAGUACUGUGAAGGAAAGAUGAAAAGAACUUUGAAAAGAGAGUGAAAAAGUACGUGAAAUUGUUGAAAGGGAAGGGCUUGAGGUCAGACUUGGUUUUACCAGGCCAGCAUCAGUUUGGAUGGCAGGAUAAUAGCUUAGGAAUGUGGCACUGCUUCGGUAGUGUGUUAUAGCCUGGGUUGAUACUGCCUGUCUAGACUGAGGACUGCGUCUUUGACUAGGAUGCUGGCAUAAUGACCUUAAGCC
rnacentral:rRNA from 1 species